GGCGCGUUGACGCUGACAACAAUGGUAGCUAGCAGGGCUGAAGCUACAAGCUACCGGCGAAAAGUUUGAAUAUAAAGUACGUAAAAGAAAACUCAGAGUCAAUAUUUUAGCUUUCAUCUGCGGGUCAUUAAAAAGUAUUUAUCAUGCGGAUGUGGUAAGAAAUGAAAAGACAACUAACGGAAGAAAAAUGCCGACGUUUCUCUUCGGGAGCAGCUCAGCACGUGCUAAAAAGCUAAGGUGUAGUCAUGAACGCAGCACCAUAGACACAGUGAUGGAGAUGAACUGCAGUGACUUGGACAUCACGUGAACAUGUGUGGUCCGUGAACGCAGCACCAUGGAGACAGUGAAGGAGGCGAAUAGCACAUGAAUAUUUGCUGCUUCAGUAGAUGGAGAAACAUGCAGACCUACUUAGACUGUCUUCUCUGCGCUGGGUUUAACAGCUGUGAGCGGUGCCAUCACAAAGACAAGUUCACACAUUUUUGCUGCUUCAGUAGAUGAAGAACCAUCUUCUCUGCACUGGGUCUGAAGCAGCAUAUGAAGAGUUUUCUUUUCUCCAUGGAGGUCAUAAGGACAAUGGAACUGGAUUUAAAAUAAAAGUUUGAAAAAUGAAAAAGUAGUUUGGUUAUUUUCCAUUCAUACAUCACAUAAUACAUUCAAAACUUUGGAAUCAGCAUUUGACUUGGAUGACAGACUAUAACUAUUA